GACAGAGGGUGCAAACGUUGUUCGGAAUCACUGGGCGUAAAGCGCGUGUAGGCGGCCAGACAAGUCGGGUGUGAAAGCCCACGGCUCAACCGUGGAAGUGCACUCGAAACUGCUUGGCUAGAGUCCUGGAGAGGAAGGUGGAAUACUCGGUGUAGAGGUGAAAUUCGUAGAUAUCGAGUGGAACACCGGUGGCGAAGGCGGCCUUCUGGACAGUGACUGACGCUGAGACGCGAAAGCGUGGGGAGCAAAC
rnacentral:rRNA from 1 species